UACAGAGGGUGCAAGCGUUGUUCGGAAUUAUUGGGCGUAAAGCGCGUGUAGGCGGCUUUGCAAGUCGGGUGUGAAAGCCCUCAGCUCAACUGAGGAAGUGCGCCCGAAACUGCAGAGCUUGAGUGCCGGAGAGGGUGGCGGAAUUCCCCAAGUAGAGGUGAAAUUCGUAGAUAUGGGGGAGGAACACCGGUGGCGAAGGCGGC
rnacentral:rRNA from 1 species